GGCAGUGACAUUUCUGGGGGCGGGGGGAUGUGAGGGGUGGAUGCUGACCAGCUGCCUCCUGGGCACUCCCUGACUGCCCGGGGGCUUUGAGAAGUCAAACCUUGCUCCUGGGGCCUGGCUGAGGCUCCUGAGGACCUGGAGGCUGGCGGGAGCUUUGUCGCCUGGCGGCGUGGAGGGUGGGCUCGCGGUAUGUCCGCAGUGCCCUCUGCCGAGUGGCCACCUGGGUUAGUCCCGGCAUCGGCCUGAACAGUCAGGCCAACAAACACAUUCUUCUUCGUAUCUGGGUCCUAUUUUGGACGUAUGAAAUUCAGGCAAAGCCCUGGAGGGCUGACGUCUGAGGGUGCUUCUCUGUCCGACUUGUUUGUACGCUGCAAACUCAUGAACUGGUCUCACCCCACUCCGGAGAGGUCAGGGCCCGCGGGAACUUCCGGCUCCUCACUGACAACAGGAGGGUCCGGCGGAUGCUUCCUGGGCACACCGCCCGGUACCUUCAGGCCAGCCUGUCGUCUCUGCCCGCCGCGGAUGCGAGUACACCACACCCCAGUUUGUGAGGAGUCCUGUUAAAACCUCGCCAGCUCUCGAAUGGUCGUCAGAGCACAGCCUGGCUGGAGCUCUCGCUCCGGCCCCAGCUGGCUCAGGACACACACAGACUGGGGUCACGACAACACGCGCGCACGUGGGGAAGAGCCACAGGAAUCUGCAGGGAGAGCCCCGACUUUGCGGCAGACCCUGGUCCAUCUGCCUGAACCAUCACGGUCGAACCUCACUCAGCGGUUGGAGCGGAACCUGGCAGAGCCUGCACAAUCCACCUGUGAAAGAAAGACACCCACCUGGGCGUCUGCAGCAUCCCCCGCGGUCUGCACUCCGCGGGCUGUGUUUUCCGCGUUCCUCUGCACAUCCCGCAAACUGGCAGCUGAGUCCGGAGGCUUGUCCCUUGCAAAGUUUAGGACAUGCUGAGCUUUUACAUCGGGAGGCCCAGGAUGCGUGGUUGUCACUUUUUGUGACAUGAGCAGUCACGGACGACCAUCGCCCAGAUCUGCUGGAGGCAGCAACGCGGUGGUGUCCUAACUCUGCUGUUGGACUCUCAUGUGCUGGCUGAAAUUAUUUCAAAGAGAAACACACCCCUCAUCUACCAGUUGGUUACCUGGCGGUACAGUUCACAGAGGAAAAGCCAGACAACUGCCUGACUCUGCAUUUACCAGUUUUCAAGACAAUGAAUCUGCUUCUUGGCCUCUUCUGAAGAUGGCCAGUUAGUUUUUUAAUAAAUAUAUAUAAAACGUAUUUUGUAGAUUUUAAUCCAUUGUAUUUCUUAGCCUUCUUGGAGUUGACGAUGUCCCGUCUCUGGUCGGAGGGAGCGUCUUCAAUUUGGCUUCU